rnacentral:tRNA from 1 species
GUAUAAUGGUCGGUGGAAGGCUGGUUAAACCGUUUGGUUUUCGACCACUAGGACCCGGGUUCGAUUCCCGCAUUGGACA